rnacentral:tRNA from 1 species
GGGGCUAUGGCUAAGUGGGGAAGCAUCUGCUUGGCAUGUAGAAGGUCCCAGGUUCAAAUCUUGACAUCUCCA